CCUACGGGUGGCUGCAGUCGAGAAUCAUUCACAAUGGGGGAAACCCUGAUGGUGCGACGCCGCGUGGGGGAAUGAAGGUCUUCGGAUUGUAAACCCCUGUCAUGUGGGAGCAAAUUAAAAAGAUAGUACCACAAGAGGAAGAGACGGCUAACUCUGUGCCAGCAGCCGCGGUAAUACAGAGGUCUCAAGCGUUGUUCGGAAUCACUGGGCGUAAAGCGUGCGUAGGCUGUUUCGUAAGUCGUGUGUGAAAGGCGCGGGCUCAACCCGCGGACGGCACAUGAUACUGCGAGACUAGAGUAAGGGAAGGGGAACCGGAAUUCUCGGUGUAGCAGUGAAAUGCGUAGAUAUCGAGAGGAACACUCGUGGCGAAGGCGGGUUCCUGGACAUUAACUGACGCUGAGGCACGAAGGCCAGGGGAGCGAAAGGGAUUAGAUACCCGAGUAGUC
rnacentral:rRNA from 1 species